GUAGGCCAGCCGCUCCCUCUCCUGGCCCAUCCAGAACUCCUCGCAGAUGGUGAAGCCCUCGUUCUUGAACUCCACGUGGUAGGUGUGAGCCACGGCCGGAGCCACCAGAGCGCAGGACAGCAGCCAGAUGCCCGACAGCAGACCUAUUUUUAGACAUGAAAAUCUACAACAUCCAGGUGCUUACAUUUGGACCUGCCUCUGCAAUUUAGUGCAAUUUUCCUCAAGAGAGUGUGACAUUCAUUGUGCGGUUUUGUGCCGCACUAUUUCCACAUUUUACACGGAGCUCUACAGGUUGAAUAAGUAGGUCUGGUUGCUUCACUCACACUGAAACUCUCACUGUCGCUUAUUUCCUCAUCUGAUGACACAUUAGAGAUGUCAGCGAGGGACAGGAUACAUGUAAAUAAGACUCCGGGAGGGUUGUUUUUGCCACAGCGGCUCCUCUGACUCACGGUGACGUACCUGUCCACAGCGAUGGCCGUGAGAGUGAAGACGGACACGUACACCGUCACCGGCUGGAUCAGGUACACCAGGUAGCACAUGAAGCGCCCGAAGGCCCAGCCGCGGGGGUUGAAGGCGUAGGCCAGCGUGAAGGGCACGCACGUGGCGCACAUCAGCAUGUCGGAGAAGGCCAGGUUGCCGAUGAAGAAGUUGGUGACGUUGUGCAUCUUGCGCGUGCAGCAGAUGACGUAGAGGAGCAGGUAGUUGCCGAAGACGCCCACCAGCGCCACCAGCGCGUAGCAGGGGAUGAUGAGCAGCUUGAAGGACUGCAGCAGCUCCACGCCCACGAACUGGGGGCUGCGCUUGGCCGAGCCGUUCCGCAGCGCCACCUCGAAGACCGGCCCGCUGUCGUUCCCGGCCGCGCCGUGCGUCGGGUACGCGGGGCUCAGGUCCGCCGGCCAGCCGCUGCCCGUGCCCUCCAUAGCGAGUGGCUGAUGGGAAUCUGGAAGAGUGACAGCGGGAUUAGGUGGUGGGUGGCCUUCGCCGGCCCACAGAGGUGCUGGUCAAACGAGCCGGGUUCUGCGCAGCAGGACGGUUCUGCCGUCGUCCGUCACAGUGAGCGUGAGGGUUUGCAUUUAUGUGGAACUUCAACACAAACUGUGAUUAUCAAAGCGAACGCUGCUGCGUGACUCAAGCCUGAGUGUUGCGUGUCCACGCGGAGCAUGUGCAGCACAAGAGGUGUUGAUUCCAUGUCAGUGCAACUAUAUUUAGCCCCGUCAGGGAAAUUUAAAGGACACAUAGUGACAAUAAAACAGCAUCAGGGUAUAGGAGUAGAGUGUAGGAUGGGGGAUUUACUGACAAGUGGCACAUUUAAAAAAAGGCUAUUCUAUUUUCUUUUCAUUUUCUUCCUUUUCAUGUCAUGAUGGAAAACAGAAAUACAUCGUUUUUUAGCCAUUUUAAUUAAGAUUCAUUUAAUCUUUGUUGAUAUGAAAGGUUAUGAAAAAAUGUGAUGCCAGUGAUGAAUAUGAAUCACAUGUUAUUAAAAGUAAUGAUAACAAAUAA